GGGCAAUGUCCGACCUCCAAAUUGUGUCAGGACCGGAAGGUAGCAGCACUAAGGUUGCUUGGGCAUGUGCCUUUUU
rnacentral:SRP_RNA from 20 species